UGGAGGGCACGUCCAUGGAGUGGCUCUGCAGACACCUGGAGAACGGGAAGGAGACGCUGCAGCGCACGGACUCCCCAAAGACACAUGUGACCCACCACCCCAUCUCUGACCAUGAGGCCACGCUGAGGUGCUGGGCCCUGGGCUUCUACCCUGCGGAGAUCACACUGACCUGGCAGUGGGAUGGGGAGGACCAAACUCAGGACACGGAGCUUGUGGAGACCAGGCCAGCAGGGGAUGGAAUCUUCCAGAAGUGGGCAGCUGUGGUGGUGCCUUCCAGAGAGGAGCAGAGACACAUGUGCCAUGUGCAACUUGAGGGGCUGCCGGAGCGCCUCGCCCUGAGAUGGGGUAAGGAGGGGAAUGGGGGGGAAUCACGCCUCUUCUCAGAAAAAGCAGGAGCCCUUCUGGAGCCUUUAGCAGGGUCAGGACUGAGACCUGGGGUCAGGGACCUUCACGUUUCUCUCCUUUCCCAGACCUGUCUUCCCAGCUCACCAUCCCCAUCAUAGGCAUUGUUUCUGGCCUGGGUGUCCUAGGAGCUGUGGUCACUGGAGCUGUGGUCAUUGCUGUGAUGUGUAGGAAAAAGAGUUCAGGUGAAGAUAGAGGGAGCUACUCUCAGGCUGCGUGCAGUGACAGUGCCCAGGGCUCUAAUGUGUCUCUCACAGCUUGUAAAGCCUGAGACAGCUGCUUGUGUGGGACUGAGAUGUGGGAUUUCUUCACGCCUCCCCUUUGUGACUUCAAGAGCCUCUGGCAUCUCUUUCUGCAAAGGCAUCUGAAUGUGCCUGCAUCCCUGUUAGCAUAAUGUGAGGUGGUGGAGAGAUAGCCCACCCCGUGUCCACCGUGACCCCUGUCCCCACGCUGACCUGUGUUCCCUCCCCAGUCAUCUUUCCUGUUCCAGAGAAGUGGGGCUGGGUGUCUCCAUCUCUGUCUCAGCUUCAUGGUGCACUGAGCUGCAACCUCUUACUUCCCUACUGAAAAUAAGAAACUGAAUAUAAAUUUGUUUCUCAAAUAUUUGCCAUGAGAGGUUGACGGGUUAAUUAAAUAAGUCGUUUCCUAAAAUUUGACAGAGGAAAUAAAGACCUGAGAACCUUCCAG